CUUGUACUCCCUCCGUCCGAAAAUACUUGUCAUUGAAAUGGGUGUAUCUAGAUGUAUUUUAGUUCUAGACACAUCCAUUUUGAUGACAAGUAAUUCCAGACGGUGGGAGUACUUG
rnacentral:pre_miRNA from 1 species